rnacentral:rRNA from 1 species
GAGCAAUCUGUGUGACUGCGUACCUUUUGUAUAAUGGGUCAGCGACUUAUAUUCUGUAGCAAGGUUAACCGAAUAGGGGAGCCGAAGGGAAACCGAGUCUUAACUGGGCGUUAAGUUGCAGGGUAUAGACCCGAAACCCGGUGAUCUAGCCAUGGGCAGGUUGAAGGUUGGGUAACACUAACUGGAGGACCGAACCGACUAAUGUUGAAAAAUUAGCGGAUGACUUGUGGCUGGGGGUGAAAGGCCAAUCAAACCGGGAGAUAGCUGGUUCUCCCCGAAAGCUAUUUAGGUAGCGCCUCGUGAAUUCAUCUCCGGGGGUAGAGCACUGUUUCGGCAAGGGGGUCAUCCCGACUUACCAACCCGAUGCAAACUGCGAAUACCGGAGAAUGUUAUCACGGGAGACACACGGCGGGUGCUAACGUCCGUCGUGAAGAGGGAAACAACCCAGACCGCCAGCUAAGGUCCCAAAGUCAUGGUUAAGUGGGAAACGAUGUGGGAAGGCCCAGACAGCCAGGAUGUUGGCUUAGAAGCAGCCAUCAUUUAAAGAAAGCGUAAUAGCUCACUGGUCGAGUCGGCCUGCGCGGAAGAUGUAACGGGGCUAAACCAUGCACCGAAGCUGCGGCAGCGACGCUUAUGCGUUGUUGGGUAGGGGAGCGUUCUGUAAGCCUUUGAAGGUGUACUGUGAGG